UGCAAUCAUCGUGACUCAGCAAGGACUGUCUGUCAGGCGAUGGCCAGCGUUAAAGAGCCGGGCAUGGCGGCAGUGAGGAGAUGGUGAAGGCUGCUCUUCCUCAAUUACAUAGGAGCAUGGAAUACGUACUCUUACCCACAUCCCAUCAACAGGAGUCAUGUCUUCUCCAUUUCUGUCUCCACCAUGUCUCUCAAUAUAGUGGUUUCUAAUGAAUUUUCUCCUAUAAUUUGGUGAGUAACAUAGAGCCAUGGGAGGUAUCAUUUAUCAUUUGCUUCAGAAAAGCUUCAUCCAAAUCAAAUAAUUGGUAUUAUAACUUCAUUGGAAAAUUCAUUUUCACAAAAUUGGACAGCUUUUACCAUUUUUUAUCCCGACAACUUUGUUAAUGGUUUUUCUGAACAGAUAUAAUGAUGUCAAUAUUUUUAAGAAACUAUUAUCCAUGGAAGGGAAAAUGCCAUAAUAAAUAAGACCUUAAGAUGGCACCAAGAUAAUGAAAUAAAGCAUUACCAAAUGGAACCAUUGCUUGCAUAAUAUAUGUCAUAUUAUUAAGUCUUAAAACAGAAAUAUAGAAAAACCUAGGAAACUAAAGGAGUUUACAUAAAAUCUGGAAAGAUCUAACUAGAAAUGAUUAGUUUUAUAACAAAUAUUUAAGGUUUAUAAUCAGACGGGUUACUUGAAAAAACUUCCCAAAGGAGGCUAAAAUACAACUCAUUGCAUUACAGUUCCUUGAGCUUCACUUUGUAGAUGUUGUAAACAUAAAAAUUAAAAGUUUAUGUAGUGUUUUUUCUUCCAAGAAUACUUGAUCAAUGCCACAUUAAUUUUGAGGACACCAAAUGUCAGUGUUAACUACUUUCUUUCUUAAAGUGUGUAUAUGUUGUAUGUUAAAUAAGUG
rnacentral:lncRNA from 1 species